GACUGCAGGGCGGGGAGUGCUCGGGCGCCUCUCCAUCCCGGGUGGCAGCGGCGCCAGACAUGCCCGUCACGUCCCCUGGACGAGAGGAAGAGGAGCGGACACGCAGGGAGAAGCCGGCCAUGUGAACACAGACGCAGAGAUCCGAGUGGUGUAUUUACGAGCCAACAAAUGGCGAGCAUCGCCAGGAGCCACCAGAAGCUGGAGGAGGCAAAGGAGACCCCCGCCUCCCGCCCCCCAGAGCCUUCAAAGGGCUUCUAACUUCCAGCUGUGGUUUGUGUUGUUGGCUCAACCAAGAUCCUCCUUUGUCCUGUGGCUAGGGUUGGAGUGGAGGCCCUGUGUAUGCACGGCCACUGCACCAUGCCUCCUGGUUCCCCGACACCCUGCUUCCACCUUGGUAAGUAGUCUUCUUGUUAAACCUCCCUGAAUGAUCCAAUGUGAGUGUCCACCUGCUUCCUUCUGGGACCCUCACAGAUACACACCGGGGCCCCAGAGUCUGGGAGGGCUUACUGUGAAUCCGAUGCCCACGGUGGCCGAGAAGGAGCCAGGGACGAACUUGCCCUGGUCGAACUGAACCAGCAGAGAUGUCUUCCCCACACCGCUGUCACCCACCAGGAUGGUCUGAAAGGGAGCAAGAGAGGGGUGAGCGUCUGCAGUGUGCAUGGGGCUUCUGAGAUGCCAUUGUGGCUGUGGGAGCAGGCUCCUUCUAAUGCACACACACACACACACACACACACACAGAACUCUUGAUUUCCUAUCAAAGUCACUGAAGAGGCAUGAAAGCAUAGGAGAAACCUUGUCACCCCAUGUUGAUGAACAUCUGAAGGGACCAUGAGAACUUGCCUCUCAGACUUCCGACCAAGAGGGCAUACUGACUGACACCCACUGUGCUCUCCGUGGUCCCCCACAGUGUGCUUGCCCUGAGGCCGUGCUUCUUACUGGCAGUUCCCAGCCAAAGGCACAGUAUGGUAGGGGCACUGAGGCAGGUCUGUCACUGGGAGACACAAGAUUCCCCUAACGGCCAAAUUUGGCUUGAGGAUUUCCUCACCAUUUCACGGAUCCUUCCAGAGACUUUCACACAACCUUCCUGCCCUUUCUCCUUCGCUUGGGGUCAUACCUGCCUCAUGAUCUGCGGGCUCUCCCCACCUCUCCCAGCUUCCUACCCGAUUUCUUUCAUAAGUAUUUCACCUAAUAAAAUCCCUGCACUUGUAAUUCCCUUUGGCACCAGCUUCUCAGAAGAGAAUGUCUGGAGACAUGCCUUGGGAAGAGUUUAUACUUGGCCAUGGAGCAUGGCAUUGGAGACACAGCAUUUCAAGGGAAACAGAGUUUCAGAAAGAAGGGCCUGGCUACUUUUGUACAUGAAGGAAGCAGUGGGGAGAAUUAGCCUGGGAGGUCAGGUGCUAUAUUUGGAAGAAAAUCAUAAGCAACAGACAGGAAAUAUACAUGCACCUGGAGGCCUGGGACUCAACAAGCUCUCAAAGAAUGGAUGAAUGAAUGAAUGAAUGAGUGGGUAAAUGCCUUAGUUUCAAAAUGGAUAGUAGCUACUUUCCAAAGACAACCCUUCAAGAUCACUGGAAAGGCUUAAGAGAUGCCAACUUUAGCUGGACUUGUAAAACCAUAAAGAUAUAAAAACCCCAAAAUGUAAAAGCGUAAUGGUGGACAGGUUCUCCUGGGGUUGGACCCAUGGUCCCAACACUGUUUGGCUUUGACAGUGGCACUGAGCUAGCAGCAGGGCAAACAUGGGAUUGUUUGUGAUGUUGACUUUGAAUGUCCCCUGACUGUGGUCCCCCAUACCCAUUUCCAAACCAAAUUCGAUUCAGCUUUUAUUUCCUCCUGGGUUAAAGGGCUCCAUUUGCUUGUUGUGUGCAGUGGCUUUAAUAAUUUACAUCUCAGGGGCCCUGGGUGGCUCAGUCAGUUAAGCUUCAGCUUAGGGCAUGAUCUUGAGGCUCAUGGCUUUGAGCCCCACCUCCGGCUCUAUGCUGACAGUGUGGAGCCUACUUGGGAUUCUCUCUCUUUCCCUCUCUUCCUGCCCCUCCCUCACUUGCACUUUCUCUCUCAAAAACAAGUAAAUGAAAACAAUAUAAUAAUUUACAUCUCAAAUCCAAUUUCCUCAGGCUUGAAGAGGGGCUUCCUAGAGAGUCUAUUCCAGAAUGUAAAGGUUCAGUCCGCUCAUGUCCACCUUCUUCAUUUAUUAAAGGAUAUAAUGUAUUGACAUUCUUUUCCCCUUUAUUCUUUUCCUUUUCACGGGGAAGGAUUCCCUUUCUUCUCUCCUCAUAUGAAAACAUUUCCAUCUUAAUGGGAAUUUCUCUGGUUUAGUGGGAACACGGUUCAUGGUGACAAGGUUCAGCAUUUCAGGUCCUGCUGAAUCCUGUCUGGGGGCAGGGGCAGGAUGCUGCUGCCAUGUUUUGGUGCAGAACUUCUGAGAAUCCUAUGUUCAAACCUGGCUUCUUGGUUGGGAGGAAGAUAUAUGUGUCAAGGUAGGAAGUAAGAAGAUAGGAUACACUUGAUUUGAUCAAAUUAAAAAAAAUUUAAUGUUUAUUUAUUUUUGAGAGAGAGAGAGAGAGAGAGCAUGAGCUGGGGAGGAGCAGAGAGAGAGGGAGACACAGAAUCUGAAGCAGGCUCCAGGCUCUGAGAUGUCAGUACAAAGCCCGAGGCGGGACUUGAACCCACAAAUUGCGAGAUCAUGACCUGAGCUGAAGUCAGACGCUUAACUGAAUGAGCCACCAAGGUGCCUCUUGAUUUUAUCAUUUUUAAGCUGGCAUUUAGAAUAAUAAAAUAUUGAGACAUGUGGUCUAUGGGUGUCCAUUUGUAUUCUAAACGUUAUGGAUGAGGCUGCCUAAAUCCAUUACCUUAGAUACACUAUGGAGUUACUCUCUUCACUCAACAGCUGCCAGGAUUUUCCUGAAGUUUCUCCAGGUUGGCCCCAAAUCUCACUGCUUGGAGAAGCUGAAUGUCAACUUUGGAUCCAGAAUUUCCAUUGCACCUUCCCUCCUCUGAAGCAUUUGUGAAAAUGUUAAUUAAUCGUGGUUCAAACAGAGACCUCUGUGCCAACUUUGCCACCAUUCAGACAAGUGUUUCCGUUCUGUCUUAAGUCAGUUGAUUUAUGUUUGUAUUUGGCUCCAUCCAUUCCAAAAGGAAUUUGAGGAAUUCAAAACUCGCCUACACCAGAGGCCAGGUAAUGAUACCGCCUGAAGCAAUCUUCCACCCCAGAGUGACCUGGCUUGUUCCUAUAUCUGAGCGUUACAUUUGCUUUUAGACUUCCUGGCAUCCACGACAAAAUGGGAAGCCAGAUGGGGUAUGUAGUACUUGUUGCCUGAGUCUUCUCAAUGAGUGAGUAUUUUCUGCCGGCAUGCGAUGUGGAGAGGAAUCUCUUAUGUGGAUUCUUACACGAGGGGCCUCUAGUGACAAAAUGGAAGAGUUGGGAUUUUGCAGAGAAGGUGAAGCUUUUCCUAUAGCUUUUCUAUUGACUCUUUUUUUUAUAUAAAAUUUUUUAAAAUGUUUAUUCAUUUUUGAGAGACAGAGAGAGACAGAGCAUGAGCAGGGAAGGGGCAGAGAGAGAGAUGGAGACGCAGAAUCUGAAGCAGGCUCCAGGCUCUGAGCUGUCAGCACAGAGCCCGACACGGGGCUCGAACUCACGAACUGUGAGAUCAUGACCUGAGCCGAAGUUGGGCGCUCAACCGACUGAGCCACCCAAGUGCCCCUCUAUUGACUCCUGCUAAAAGCCAGGGCCUGACAUUAAAUCGCACCUCAGCAGACACUUCUCAGUGGGAGCUGGGCAAAUGUUGCCUAAGCGCUCUGCUUUCCUGUGACUUCCUGACUCAAGGGGAACACUUAGAAAACCUAGGUGAAUGGGGUGGUUACCAUGGCUCCUAAUUGACUCUGAGCCACCUUCUUAAUCAGACAGGGAAUUCAGAUGCCAUAAAGAAAAAGAUCUGACUGUACAGACAUAAAAAUGUCCUGGUUGACAGAAGAUACCAAAAUGAAAUGAGAAAUGAUGGAGAGGAAAUAUUUGCAAGAUGUAUGGCAGACAAAGGGUUAAUACACGUAGUGGUGUAAAGAGCUCUCAAAAGAAAAUCUCAGUAGGAAAGUGAAGAAUAUGAGUACAUAGAUUGUGUGUGUGUGUGUGUGUGUGUGUGUGUGUAUGUGUAAAUGUGUGUAAAUGUGUCAACCUGGCCAGGCUAUAGCAUGUAGUUAUUCAAUUAAAUACGAAUCUCUAUGUUGCUGUGAAGGUAUGUUAUAGAUGUACAGGUUAUAUAUUACACAUAUACAAUCGGUUGACUUGUAAAUCUUCAAUAAUCUGGAUGGGCCUUAUCCAGUUAAUUGAAAGAACUUAGAGCAAAACUGAGGAAGAAGAAAUUCUGUUCAAAAUUGUAGCAUCAGCUUCUCCCUGAGAAUUUUCAGCCUGCCAGUCUACCCUACAGAUUUUGGACAGGCCAGCCCCCCAGAGUCACGAAAGCCAAUUCCUUGAACUAAACAUCUCUCAGUAUACUUCAUCCUGGUAUGUUUCUCUGAAUCAAUAUAACAUAUAAUGCUUUGGUAAAAGUAUGAUAAGGGUCAACAUUGGCUGAGAGUUGGGGAAACAGACACUCGUACUUACACCA